UGAGGCCAAACUUGGCAUGUGAU
rnacentral:sRNA from 1 species